GUAGGCAGCAAGCGUUGUUCGGAGUUACUGGGCGUAAAGGGUGUGUAGGCGGUUCCUUAAGUUUGCUGUGAAAUCUCCCGGCUUAACCGGGAGGGUGCGGUGAAUACUGAGGGACUAGAGUACGGGAGAGGAAAGUGGAAUUCCUGGUGUAGCGGUGAAAUGCGUAGAUAUCAGGAGGAACACCGGUGGUGUAGACGGCUUUCUGGACCGUAACUGACGCUGAGACACGAAAGCGUGGGUAGCAAACAGGAUUAGAUACCCUGGUAGUCCACGCCCUAAACGAUGCAUAUUUGGUGUGGGCAGUUCAUUCUGUCCGUGCCGGAGCUAACGCGUUAAAUAUGCCGCCUGGGGAGUACAGUCGCAAGGCUG
rnacentral:rRNA from 1 species